AGGACAAACGCUGGCGGCGUGCAUAACACAUGCAAGUCGAACGAGGGUAGCGAUACUCGAGUGGCGGACGGGUGAGGAACACGUGGAUAACCGACCUUUUACUGGGGAAUACCCGUGGGAAACCACGGCUAAUACCGCAUACGUUCUGCAAAGAAGAAAGCCUUCGGGCGGUAAGAGACGGGUCUGCGGUCGAUUAGCUAGUUGGUGCGGUAACGGCGUACCAAGGCGACGAUCGAUAGCUGGUCUGAGAGGAUGAUCAGCCACAUUGGGAUUGAGAACGGCCCAAAUCCCUACGGGGAGCAGCAGUGAGGAAUAUUCGGCAAUGGGCGCAAGCCUGACCGAGCGACGCCGCGUGGGGGAUGACGCAUUUCGGUGUGUAAACCCCUUUUCUGGGGACGAGAAUGGACGGUACCCCAGGAAUAAGUCUCGGCUAACUACGUGCCAGCAGCCGC
rnacentral:rRNA from 1 species